rnacentral:rRNA from 1 species
AUUACCUAGAGUUUGUGGGCUUUGCCCGCUACCUCUUACCCAUGUCUUUUGAGUACUUACGUUUCCUCGGCGGGUCCGCCCGCCGAUUGGACAAAAUUAAACCCUUUGCAGUUGCAAUCAGCGUCUGAAAAACAUAAUAGUUACAACUUUCAACAACGGAUCUCUUGGUUCUGGCAUCGAUGAAGAACGCAGCGAAAUGCGAUAAGUAGUGUGAAUUGCAGAAUUCAGUGAAUCAUCGAAUCUUUGAACGCACAUUGCGCCCCUUGGUAUUCCAUGGGGCAUGCCUGUUCGAGCGUCAUUUGUACCUUCAAGCUCUGCUUGGUGUUGGGUGUUUGUCUCGCCUCUGCGUGUAGACUCGCCUUAAAACAAUUGGCAGCCGGCGUAUUGAUUUCGGAGCGCAGUACAUCUCGCGCUUUGCACUCAUAACGACGACGUCCAAAAGUACAUUUUUACACUCUUGACCUCGGAUCAGGUAGGGAUACCCGCUGAACUUAAGCAUAUCA